GACGAACCGUGCGAACGUUGUUCGGAAUCACUGGGCUUAAAGGGCGCGUAGGCGGGUGGCCAAGUCAGAGGUGAAAUCCCACGGCUCAACCGUGGAAGUGCCCCUGAAACUGGUCAUCUCGAGGGAGGUAGGGGCGUGCGGAACUUCCGGUGGAGCGGUGAAAUGCGUAGAUAUCGGAAGGAACGCCGGUGGCGAAAGCGGGUCUCUGGGCCGAUACUGACGCUGAGGAGCGAAAGCGUGGGGAGCGAACAGG
rnacentral:rRNA from 1 species